CUCUGAAAUUUAACCCUAGAAUAUAAGCCAAUUCAAUUCACUCUCCCUCCAUCGUUACCCUAGCUCGCCGCUGCUGCGCUGCAUGUCUUCGUCCCUCUCCCUCCAUCGUUCAUCCACUCUCCUCUCUGGAGGGUAACCGAAGCAAGGGCUAAGGAUAUCAUCUUUUGACUGAAGACUUCAUACUUCUGAGUUCUGAGAGCACUUUGUCUGAAAUGAAGAAAUCUAGGCAGUGUUUGACGGCACCAAUGCCUUUACCAACUGAAACCGACAAUCCCCCAACUGCUACACAGCCAUCCAAUGCCACCCCAGCUGAAGGAGGUGCUUCUGGUGGAGAUCAGCCUUCUACUCAACAGAAGCAAACAUCUACUGCUGAAGCUACGAUAACUGAUCCCGCUCCUAAAAGUAAAAAGAAGCGAAGACAAAAUGCUAGUGGCUCUCGGAAGUCUUCUUCUAUAUGGGAUCACUUCACCCAUGUACCUGAUAUUGAGGUUGAUGAGACGACUGCAGCUUGUAAUUAUUGUGGUAAGAGGUAUUUAGCUGA